rnacentral:rRNA from 1 species
AUGAACGCUAGCGACAGGCCUAACACAUGCAAGUCGAGGGGCAGCAGGGGAGCAAUCCCGCUGGCGACCGGCGCACGGGUGAGUAACGCGUAUGUAACCUACCCAUGAGUGGGGGAUAGCCCAGCGAAAGCUGGAUUAAUACCGCAUGAUACUGAUUGACGACAUCUGAUAUCAGUUAAAGAUUUAUUGCUCAUGGAUGGACAUGCGUCCGAUUAGCUAGUUGGCGGGGCAACGGCCCACCAAGGCGACGAUCGGUAGGGGUUCUGAGAGGAAGGUCCCCCACAUUGGUACUGAGACACGGACCAAACUCCUACGGGAGGCAGCAGUGAGGAAUAUUGGUCAAUGGGCGGAAGCCUGAACCAGCCAAGUCGCGUGAAGGAUGAAGGUUAAUUAUGUAUUGUAAACUUCUUUAGCAGUGGAGUAAUAAGGGGCUCGUGAGCCUUGAUGCAAGUACACUGAGAAUAAGGAUCGGCUAACUCCGUGCCAGCAGCGGC